rnacentral:rRNA from 1 species
UACAGAGGGGGCAAGCGUUAUUCGGAAUUAUUGGGCGUAAAGGGCGCGUAGGCGGUCUGUCAAGUGGUAGGUGAAAUCCCUCGGCUUAACCGAGGAACUGCCCUCCAAACUGCUUGGCUUGAGUCCGGGAGAGGUGAGUGGAAUUCCCAGUGUAGCGGUGAAAUGCGUAGAUAUUGGGAGGAACACCAGUGGCGAAGGCGGCUCACUGGACCGGAACUGACGCUGAGGCGCGAAAGCGUGGGGAGCAAACGGG